rnacentral:rRNA from 1 species
UACGUAGGUGGCAAGCGUUGUCCGGAAUUACUGGGUGUAAAGGGCGUGUAGGCGGGGAGACAAGUCAGAUGUGAAAUACCGUGGCUUAACUGCGGGGGUGCAUCUGAAACUGUUUCUCUUGAGUAUCAGAGGGGAAAGCGGAAUUCCUGGUGGAGCGGUAAAAUGCGCAGAGAUCAGGAGGAACACCGGUGGCGAAGGCGGCUUUCUGGCCAGUUACUGACGCUCAUGCGCGAAAGCUGGGGUAGCGAACCGGAUUAGAUACCCCCGUAGU